GUCUCUCUCUCUGUCUGUCUCUCUGUCCCCUCAGAGGACGAUCCAGACUAUGCCUUCCUCCACACUGACCUGUCCUCCUCGGAGUUUCUCCCUCCGCUCCUGCAGUCGUCCUCUGUCCCUCCUGCGCUGCCAGAGAAGACACGUGCCGCAGGAAGUUCCGCCUCUCAGGUCCAGUCUUCAUUUGGCUUUGACUCCGCCCUCCAACAACUGAGCCCCGCCCACGAUGGCAUUGACCCUGAUGAGACACUGUCCUCCCCCCUGUCCCCCAGCAAGACGCCCCCUCCCCUCCCAGAGAAGAAAAGACAAAUCGCUCAGUACCUCCAGGUGUGCUCGUCGUACAGCGCUGAGUCAGCAGAUGUGUUCUACCCUCGACCUUUGAACCUGAGAGGGCGGCUCAGCAGCCGGCGGCGAGAGCUGGAGACCGCCCACCUGCUGUCACACACACACCUGGACACAGAGAGGCCAGGCCCCGCCCCCUCACCUGAGCUGCCUCCUGCUCCGCUGCUACCACCGAAGAAGAGAC